UAAUGCAGAUAAGGGAAUUCGGCAAUUAGAUCCGUAACUUCGGAAAAGGAUUGGCUCUGAGGAUUGGAUUCAAGGGCCCAUUCAUGAAAGCUUAGCUGUCUUGGAACUGCGGAGGCAACGAAGUGGCUCCAGGAUAGCGAACGCUGGAAUGGGUGGGACGUCUUCAUCGGCUUUCCUUGAAUAAUUAACAAUUAACUCAGAACUGAAGCGGACAAGGGGAAUCCGACUGUUUAAUAAAAACAUAGUAUUGUGAUGGCCUGAAAAGGUGUUGACACAAUGUGAAUUCUGCCCAGUGCUUUGAAUGUCAAAGUGAAGAAAUUCAACCAAGCGCAGGUAAACGGCGGGAGUAACUAUGACUCUCUUAAGGUAGCCAAAUGCCUCGUCAUCUAAUUAGUGACGCGCAUGAAUGGAUCAAUGAGAUUCCCACUGUCCCUAUCUGCUACCUAGCGAACACACAGCCAAGGGAACAGGCUUGGAAUAAUCAGCGG
rnacentral:rRNA from 1 species